GGCCCUGUGGUGAAGUUCAUGUUGAGUUGCAAGCUCAUUGAUACGUAUUAAGCAUGCGUCAGGGUCU
rnacentral:tRNA from 1 species